CGGACCUCGCGCCAUUAGAUGAGCCUAGGUCGGAUUAGCUAGUUGGUGAGGUAAUGGCUCACCAAGGCGACGAUCCGUAACUGGUCUGAGAGGAUGAUCAGUCACACUGGAACUGAGACACGGUCCAGACUCCUACGGGAGGCAGCAGUGGGGAAUAUUGGACAAUGGGCGAAAGCCUGAUCCAGCCAUGCCGCGUGUGUGAAGAAGGUCUUCGGAUUGUAAAGCACUUUAAGUUGGGAGGAAGGGUAGUAACCUAAUACGUUGCUACUUUGACGUUACCGACAGAAUAAGCACCGGCUAACUUCGUG
rnacentral:rRNA from 1 species